ACGCAUCUUCAGGGCAGGGUGAAAUUCCCGAUCGGCGGUUCAGUCCGCGAGCAUCACGAUCGCAAUCAGCAGUCGCGAUGCCGAACCGGUGAGAUUCCGGUACCGACAGUCAUAGUCUGGAUGAAAGAAGCUGCGG
rnacentral:ncRNA from 2 species